AGCCUGUGCGCUGGCGUGCUCGAGUCGGUGAUCGUCGUUCUGGUGCCUUCCACGCCGUCAAUAUAUAGGGCGCCACUGGGCGUCGUCGAUAUCGCCCGAAGCUCUGCGCAUCUUUGUUCCUUCUUGGCUAUUCCCUGUCGGCGCCCCUGCUCUUUUUCUUCCGCGCUGCUUGGCCUUUCUUCUUUGUUGGCUGGGGCUCGUGGCAGCCGGCUUCGUUUAGGGUUUCGCUCGGCUUCGGCGGUUGCUCUUGGUGCGUUUUAGCAUCCGCCGGAUUUGUUGAUUUCUGAAUCUAGGGUGUUGCUGCUCCGUCGCAGUUGCAGGUCGCUCGUCGUUUGAGGUUCUCGUUGCCAAACACUGCUAGAGGUGCGUUUCUUCUCUGCACAGAUCGCACUUUGUUUGGCUGGAGCAACGCUACGAGAGGUGCUGUCAUGUGCAGGAGGAGAAGACCGGGUUGCCUAGGCUGGACACCAAGAACAAGAAUAAGGCUAGAGAUGGGAAGAAAUGAGUGGCACUGGAUCCGACCCUGUGACAAUUUCUAAUGGUUCUGUUCAGCUAAGAUUGUCAAAUGCAAUUCCAAGAGAAAAAGGGAAACGUUGC